AAGAACUGGACCUGAGCCAAGGUGAUGUCAUCCAGGUUUUGGUCAAAGAGGACAAAACGUGGUGGUUUGGACGUCUACCCAACGGAAACGAGGGCUACUUCCCAUCAGCCUGUGUCGCCACAUGUGGGCCUGACGGGGAAUCAGGGGAAGCCACGCCCACCCUCUUGAGGAGAGCCUCUGUGCCUGUUGUUAUGGCAACUCCGGCCUCCUGUAACCCUCCAGGUGAGAGCAAUGGGCUUGGAACACCGAAGCUGUCCAGGAAGAACAGCAUUCGGCGUGCCCUGGCACUUGACAGCCCUUCCAAGAAGGGAGGUGGUGUUCUUCAGGGAUCCCCCAGCCUCAUCCACCGUGUCCUGGCUAAAUCCAGGAGGAAGAGCUGCCCUCACCUCCCACCAGUCUCCUUAAAGCCGGGAUCCAUCAACUCAGCUUACCUGCCUGAAUAGGAUGCCUUCAGAGAAGCAGUUAGACUCAAGCAUUAAGACUCUGAAGCCUCAAGCCCAUUUGACGUUUCAUGAGGACUUGGAAUUUUUGUCCAAAAUUGACUCGCGUCCUAUUUGAAGCGAACGAAAAAAUAUAGGCACGCUGCAUUACAUUCGCUUUCCUUUAACAAAUAUCAGUGUUUCCCCUUUAAUUGUGUUUAUAACACAAUUAAAGUGAGAACCCCUGCCAGGCCAAAAAACAAUAUGUGUAAAAUGUAAUACAUGUCCUAAAUCUCAACGAGUACUAGUGCAUUCAAUUAGUAGGUCUGCGAAAGUAUCCAUCAAUGUACACAUAUGGAAAGUCAGUUUUAUCUAGGGAUGCACCAGUACCCGAUGCUGUGCUCAUGUACUCGUAAAACCUCUCCGAUACAACCACCCGAUGCCACUUUACGCAACGUGAAGUAACGUUGAAGAGCCAGUGAACCAAAAACGUUUUUUUUCGUGCACAUUUUUCCUAUAUGAUCGUCAACAUAGUAAUCUAUGCCAUUUUAUUACAGGUAGCGAAGUAAGUCCUCAAUUUAGUGAAACAAGGUGCACUGGAGGACUCGGUUUGUGUGGACGUGUGGAGCUCUGUUUGAGAGAAAGUUUCGCUUUUUCUGAAACUCAUUGUGUACCGCGACAGUAUGUUGAUAGUCGAGCUCCGUCUGAGCAGUGAUUUAUUUAAUACCAGCGCCCUAGGGUUAGGAUUCCCGUACAACUAUAAUGUUAUCGCUAGAGUGUGUAGCUCAUUUCAUAUACAACAUCGUUGGAUAUGGAAAAACGUUAUGACGCUUACACACGACGAUGAUACAAAAAGAAAAAUCAUAAAGUUGCCGUUGGGCGUAACCAUGGUGAUAACACGCCAUGCGUGCAACUGUAAUGGUAUUAUUAAGUACUCAUGCAGGUAUUUGGUAUUGGCGAGUACUCAAAUGUAAGUGGAAUCAGUGCAUCCCUAGUUAUAUCUGUAUUAUAUAGUCUGUCAAGUCCGUUGAACCUGUGAAAUAUACAGUCUAUGUGCAAUACAUCCACACUAGAGCUCUACGAGCCAUGCAGUUCUUUACCUGCUUUUAACUGUUGUAGAGCUAGUGGGAUACACUUCUAAACACUAGAAGUUCUAAACACUAGAAGUUCCAUGUUCCAUUGGGAACAUUUUGAAACGUUAAACAUCUCCUGGGCAGGUAUACACUGCUCAACACAGACUCAUUCCGGUGAUCCAGUCUUGAGUUCAAUGUGUCACAUAUCACUGCAAUUCAGAGCGUGAAUAUCUGUUGAAAAUGGAAUAUCUUUCCAACGAAAAAAACGUUUAAUCCCCCAGUCAGUUAACACUAGUAGAAUAUAAUGAUGUGGGAAACACUAACAUUAUCUACAGCUGUAUAGGUAGUCGACUCACCUAUAUUCUAAAGUUAAUGUGAUGUUACAUGGGGAUUCUAGUUUGAUAUUCAACUUUUUUACCCUUUGCAAAACACAAAAGCGCCUUGAAAGGAGGGCUGAAUUCCUAAAGAUUGGUAUGUUUUAAAGACUGGAGAUUAGCCAAUAUGUAACACUCUUAGUUCCCUGAGUAUCACAAACCAUUUUGAUGAUAUU